rnacentral:tRNA from 1 species
GGGGGAUUAGCUCAGCUGGGAGAGCACCUGCUUUGCAAGCAGGGGGUCGUCGGUUCGAUCCCGUAAUCCUCCACCA